CCUACGGGUGGCAGCAGUCGAGAAUCAUUCACAAUGGGGGAAACCCUGAUGGGGCGACGCCGCGUGGGGGAAUGAAGGUCUUCGGAUUGUAAACCCCUGUCAUGGGGGAGCAAAUUAAAAAGAGAGUACCACAAGAGGAAGAGACGGCGAACUCUGUGCCAGCAGCCGCGGUAAUACAGAGGUCUCAAGCGGUGUUCGGAAUCCCGGGGCGUAAAGCGUGCGUAGGCUUUUUCGUAAGGCGUGUGUGAAAGGCGCGGGCUCAACCCGCGGACGGCACAUGAUACUGCGAGACUAGAGUAAUGGAGGGGGAACCGGAAUUCUCGGUGUAGCAGUGAAAUGCGUAGAUAUCGAGCGG
rnacentral:rRNA from 1 species